CUCAGGACGAACGCUGGCGGCGUGCCUAAUACAUGCAAGUCGAACGCGUCUCCGUUGAUGAUUUUAGGUGCUUGCAUUUGAAAGAUUUAACAUUGAGACGAGUGGCGAACUGGUGAGUAACACGUGGGUAACCUGCCCUUGAAGUAGGGGAUAACACUUGGAAACAGGUGCUAAUACCGUAUAACAACCAAAACCACCUGGUUUUGGUUUAAAAGACGGCUUCGGCUGUCACUUUAGGAUGGACCCGCGGCGUAUUAGCUUGUUGGUAAGGUAACGGCCUACCAAGGCGAUGAUACGUAGCCGACCUGAGAGGGUAAUCGGCCACAUUGGGACUGAGACACGGCCCAAACUCCUACGGGAGGCAGCAGUAGGGAAUCUUCCACAAUGGACGAAAGUCUGAUGGAGCAACGCCGCGUGAGUGAUGAAGGGUUUCGGCUCGUAAAACUCUGUUGUUGGAGAAGAACAGGUGUCAGAGUAACUGUUGACAUCUUGACGGUAUCCAACCAGAAAGCCACGGCUAACUACGUGCCAGCAGCCGCGGUAAUACGUAGGUGGCAAGCGUUGUCCGGAUUUAUUGGGCGUAAAGCGAGCGCAGGCGGUUUUUUAGGUCUGAUGUGAAAGCUUCGGCUUAACCGGAGAAGUGCA
rnacentral:rRNA from 2 species